UGACCGCUGGCGGCGUGCCUACUACAUGCACAUCGAGCGAACGGACGCGAAGCUUGCUUCUCUGAUGUUAGCGGCGGACGGGUGAGUAACACGUGGAUAACCUACCUAUAAGACUGGGAUAACUUCGGGAAACCGGAGCUAAUACCGGAUAAUAUUUUGAACCGCAUGGUUCAAAAGUGAAAGACGGUCUUGCUGUCACUUAUAGAUGGAUCCGCGCUGCAUUAGCUAGUUGGUAAGGUAACGGCUUACCAAGGCAACGAUGCAUAGCCGACCUGAGAGGGUGAUCGGCCACACUGGAACUGAGACACGGUCCAGACUCCUACGGGAGGCAGCAGUAGGGAAUCUUCCGCAAUGGGCGAAAGCCUGACGGAGCAACGCCGCGUGAGUGAUGAAGGUCUUCGGAUCGUAAAACUCUGUUAUUAGGGAAGAACAUAUGUGUAAGUAACUGUGCACAUCUUGACGGUACCUAAUCAGAAAGCCACGGCUAACUACGUG
rnacentral:rRNA from 1 species